AACGAACGCUGGCGGCAUGCCUAACACAUGCAAGUCGAACGAGACCUUCGGGUCUAGUGGCGCACGGGUGCGUAACGCGUGGGAACCUGCCCUUAGGUUCGGAAUAACUCCCCGAAAGGGGUGCUAAUACCGGAUAAUGUCUUCGGACCAAAGAUUUAUCGCCUUUGGAUGGGCCCGCGUUGGAUUAGCUAGUUGGUAGGGUAAAAGCCUACCAAGGCGACGAUCCAUAGCUGGUCUGAGAGGAUGAUCAGCCACACUGGGACUGAGACACGGCCCAGACUCCUACGGGAGGAAGCAGUGGGGAAUAUUGGACAAUGGGCGAAAGCCUGAUACAGCAAUGCCGCGUGAGUGAUGAAGGCCUUAGGGUUGUAAAGCUCUUUUAACCGGGAUGAUAAUGACAGUACCGGGAGAAUAAGCUCCGGCUAACUCCGUG
rnacentral:rRNA from 1 species